rnacentral:misc_RNA from 1 species
GAUGAAGAACGCAGCGAAAUGCGAUAAGUAGUGUGAAUUGCAGAAUUCAGUGAAUCAUCGAAUCUUUGAACGCACGUUGCGCCCCUUGGUAUUCCAUGGGGCAUGCCUGUUCGAGCGUCAUUUGUACCUUCAAGCUUUGCUUGGUGUUGGGUGUUUGUCUCGCCUUUGCGUGUAGACUCGCCUUAAAAUAAUUGGCAGCCGGCGUAUUGAUUUCGGAGCGCAGUACAUCUCGCGCUUUGCACUCAUAACGACAGCGUCCAAAAGUACAUUUUACACUCUUGACCUCGGAUCAGGUAGGGAUACCCGCUGAACUUAAGCAUAUCAAUAAGCGGAGGA